AAAAACCAAUGGCAUUGCCUCUGGAAAAGUCCCCUGGAUCACUGGAUGCUUAUGGAAGACCGUAACUAUAAACAUGAUGAACAUGUCAUAGAUGGUUUUCAGUUUCUGUAUGACCAGUGGUUCAUCUUUUGAUGGCUUAGAUGUGCUGUGGAGUUCUUCAGCUCUGAUAGAAUUAAAGGACGGCCUACAUUUCACUGUAAUUGUGUAGUGAGACAGAAUUGUGAUUAACUCACCGUUUGGUAGCAGGACCUGGAGCUCCAUUUUGAGGAUGAAACUGGUUCUAAAAGGUGCUCUGGUAUAGAAAAUGAUCUGUAUGUAGGGUUAACUGUUCAUCUCUACAGACCAGCACUGGAGGAGCUCGGGUUUGUUAUGUUUCAGUGUGUACUUUAUUAUCUUUAGAGUCGUUUCAUCCACAAACAGUAAAGAUUGUUGCCUCGAGGGUUUUGGCAAGGACUUAGAUGAGCAUAUAGAUCUUUGCAUUUAGAUCAUCUGUUCUCCCGUUGUUUGUCUGUAAGGCUCGAGGUCUUGAUGCUAGACCAGCUCUCUCACUGCAUUCAUGCUGUAGGUGAAGAAUUCUCUCAUAAUGUCUGUGUGGACAAACGCAAUUAAAGAUUUGCAGCUUUAAUAAAAAAACAGGCAGACGAAUCCAAAUGAAUCAACAAGCACAUGAUCAGAAAACACAGAGACAUUCAGUCAAAUAACAAUCUGGGACCUUAACUGGCAUUUAGCAGACACCUUUAUCCUGAGAAAAACCCGUCAGCAACAUCAGCAGAAGGACCCUGAAGAGAUGAACACACUCAGAACUGCAUGGUUUGAUGAUAGAAUACAGUUACAGCAGAGAAAUGACUUGUAAAGCUGCUUGAUGUUCAGGAGCUAUAAACGACAUGGCAAGUCUUUCUGUACAAAUCAAACCAGUUGUGGACUGUGUAAUACCAAGCAGAUCAAAUCUCUAAAGAUCUAAAGAUUAGAUCUGAACAUGUGGAGAAGAACAUUGCAGUGGUUCUGAAAAGAGCACAUGAUUGUGUAACAGGUGCAGCAGUAAUGCGAGUUACAGUCAUGAUGAGCUCUGGAAUUGUGGAACUGGGAGUUGGUGACUGAAGAACGAGUACGAGCUCGUAGUUCUGAAGGAGCAGUGGAGCAGUGUGUAACGAGCGUUCACUAGAAAAGCUUUGAUUAGGAUGCUGACAGUGUAAAUACUGCACAAUGGGAAUUGUGGCAUCAGUAUCAGUGAGGACGUGAUGAUCAUGUCCUGUCUGCUCAUGUGAUUAUAACACUGGUGCGUCAUUUUGAAGAAACGGCUUAACGGAGUGAUGAUGCGUGUUGUGAAGGCUCCUCACCAUGGCAGCUCGAACAGACUCCAUGUUCUCUGGUGUGUGGGACAUGCGUUUUUAAAGGGUGGAACUUGUUUCUUUGAAAUGAGCAGAAGGGACAGGACCAUGACGUUCUAACUGGUAAUGAUGCUGAAAUUCCCGUUGUGCAGCACUCACACUAUCACCAUUCUUCACUGCUCCAUUCGAACUGAUGGUAAGGGGAUUAAAACGAGCUCCAAACUAUUGCUGAUGCCUCAGGAUCACCAAAUCCUAGUUAAUAAAUGUCCUGCGUCCCUGCGCCUCCUUCAAAACUGCAGGUGUUGAUUUGGUGAUGUAAAUAUAAAGGACCACUUUCUUUAUACUGGAAUACUCCAGAUGUGUCAGCAGCAGCUGGACUUCCUCAGAUAUUAGUCAGAGUUUUCACACAGCCCAUUUAUUGUUUUUAAAAGUAAGUAAAGAAGUUCUUAAAUAUACCCAAGAAGAUCUAAAAGAUAAUUGCUCUAUAAAGCAAAUAAUUGUGUGUGUGCCAGGAAUAAUGAGCACAAUUCUAUCUACAGUCUUUCUGUGUGCGGAACCUUCUGAACAAUUAUUUACACACACAAUUUACUGUUCCCUUUUUAAACAUUUGAUUUUAUAAUUCAUGUGACCAGGAGGGUGGGAACUCGUACAAGAGACGUAUAUAAAGGGGAAUAAUGAAGCAGUGGGAUUUUAGAACAUCUGCACACUUCAAGCUCAGAGACUCGGUUCUCAGUACGGUGGUGUCACACACUCAAGGUAAGUUCUUUUGCCUACACUGGUAAUGGAUAUCACACAAUGUGUGUGUCAUUCUUCAGUAAAAUAACACAGCACCAGGAACACUUUCCCAGUUUUCCAUCUAAUGGAUCUGCUGAAUUGAGUUUCAGAAUGAUGAAGAUGCUGCUGGUGACUCUGGCUCUUGCUCUUCUGCUGACCAGUGGUUCUGGCCUUCAAUGCCACAAGUGUGGUCCAGAUGGAAAAUGUUUUAUUGAAACCUGUCAGGCAUUUCAAGACACCUGUAUCACAACAAGAGUGAAAAACGGCAUUGGUUCAUUUGUAGGAAAGAGAUGCUUGACUCAGGCUCAGUGUGUGCAGGUUCAGAAAUCCAAUUCAUGGCCUACUGCAUGCUGCAGGUCGAAUCUCUGCAAUAACUUUGUUCCAUAAAAAUG